AACGAACGCUGGCGGCGUGCCUAACACAUGCAAGUCGAGCGAGAAAGCCCGCAAGGGUGAGUACAGCGGCGCACGGGUGCGUAACACGUGGGUAAUCUGCCCUGGAGCCCGGAAUAACUCCCCGAAAGGGGUGCUAAUGCCGGAUGAGCCCACGGGGUCUUAGGACCCUGAGGGAAAAGGUGGCCUCUGUAUACAAGCUAUCACUUCAGGAUGAGCCCGCGGCCCAUCAGCUAGUUGGCGGGGUAAUGGCCCACCAAGGCUACGACGGGUAGCUGGUCUGAGAGGACGAUCAGCCAAACUGGAACUGAGACACGGUCCAGACUCCUACGGGAGGCAGCAGUGGGGAAUCUUGGACAAUGGGCGCAACCCUGAUCCAGCCAUGCCGCGUGCGGGAAGAAGGCCUUCGGGUUGUAAACCGCUUUCGGCCGGAACGAAAUCGCCGGGGAGAACAUCCCCGGUGGAUGACGGUACCGGAAGAAGAAGCACCGGCUAACUACGUGCCAGCCGCCGCCGUAA
rnacentral:rRNA from 1 species